CUGUGUAAAAUAUGUUUGUGCUAGCAGAAUUUCUCAAAUUGUUCUGAUGAUAGUAAAGACCUGGGGGCAUUUGUUAUAAAUAUAGCUUCAAGACCCCUUUCCAGGAGCUUCAGAUUAAGUGGGGCUGGGAUAAGGCUCAGAAUUUAUUUUCUUAACAACUACUUCAGGUAAUUCUUAUUUUCAGGGAAGUUUGAGAAACACUACAUGCUCUCUUGGAGUCCUUCCAGUUGAAAUUCAGCAGAACCACUCUACAAAUCUCAGGGCAGGCGAGGGAGCGGGCAGGAGCAGCUCUCGCUUAUCAGUCUCCCUGAUGUCAGCCCUGCAGGAGCCGAGGCAUAUGCCCUGCUCCGCAGAGGUCGAAGAAAUUCCCAGGGAAGAGGUUUAACUGGAACAAUUUGCUCCCUGGAGACGGAGUUAGACUUUACUAGUUCACUAAGGUGACUAGUGCACAAGUUACAAGAACCACAAAAGGUGGGCGAGUCCACCAACAGAAUGGCUCCUAGCGCUGCCUUGAAGUGGCCGACCAACAGACCUGUCACUUGCCGGACACAGCGCUGGGCACUUUGGACAAACAAGGAAGAGGCUGAUCAGCAUGAUACAAACGACCUGUUGUUGAACAAAGACUCAGCAUCAGGCGCAAGAGCUUCUUCACGGGAAAAGUACUCCUUGUAUCCUCGUGCGUUUAUGCUAAUGUCUGUCUACAGCUCAGUGUCUGAGAGCGAGCUUACGAUGCAGAGAAGCAGCAACGGUUCUGGAUCCCAUCACCACGUUGUAAUCGUACUACAAUCUUCAAAACAGUCACUCGCAAGAAAUGGCUCACCUGGAGAAGAGCCUCUGAUUGCAUCUUGCUUCUUUGUGUAACUGUUAACCACAGAGCUGGGGAAAGAUAAAGAGUAAGAGUGUAGCAGGCGAGACAGUGGGCUUUUAGAGCCCUCCGCUUGGGUCCUGGAUCCUAGCCAGGACUUGGGAAAGUUAGUGUAACCUCUCUCAGCCUCAGUUAUUUCUCCUAUAAAAUGGGAAAAUAAACAAGGCUUAUGUUCUUCGGUGGUUGUGAGGACAAAAGGGAACAAUGCAGAGACAGCACUUCACUCAGUUCCUGGAAACGCUCAAUGUACGUAACCUAGUGAGAACCGCAUCUCCUGUGAGCAGGUAGUUUUCUAUGUAUGGAUGUGUGUAUGCUAUGUAAUUAUUCUGUUUGCAAAUUAGAGGGCGAUUUCAGUUAAAAAAAAAGCAGUAACCUACAUAGCCCAACAGAACCGAAUAUUGAGACACCAUCCAAUUAAAUCAUGUUAAUUUCCACUAAUCUAGUUUCUUCUCUUCAUUUCCAUGAACUUAAUUUGGUUCUUUAUCACUCCUUUAUCAGAGCAGUUUCUGCUCAAAAUCAAAGGCUGAGCACAUACUGUGCACAAGUGCUAUGCUAGAACUUGCCAUAGAAAGAUG
rnacentral:lncRNA from 1 species